rnacentral:RNase_P_RNA from 3 species
ACAGUGUCCCGGCCCUAUCGCUGGCAUCUGAUGGAUGCGAGAGGAAAGUCCGGGCAGCGCAGAGCACUCCACUUCCGAAAGUAGAAGCUAUUGGUAACAGUAGGUGUAGGCAGAAGAGAAUGACCGCCUGGUAAACAGGCAAGGGUGAGAAGGUGGUGUAAGAGACCACCGGCUGAUGGGUGACUAUCAGGCCGUGCCGCUGGAGGCUGCAAGUUCAUGUAAACCGUCGUUUGAGGGCUGCUCGUCCGAUGUUCCUGUGAACAACGACGGAGGGUAGAAUGCUGGAGCUGUGGGGUGACUCACAGCGUAGAUAAAUGACAGGGCUCCCGCAAGGGAAACAGAACCCGGCUUACGAGGACACUGUUUUC